rnacentral:rRNA from 1 species
UAACUGGAGAGUUUGAUCCUGGCUCAGGACGAACGCUGGCGGCGUGCUUAACACAUGCAAGUCGAACGAGAAAGCCCGCUUCGGUGGGUGAGUACAGUGGCGCACGGGUGAGUAACACGUGGGUAACCUACCCCUCGGUGGGGGAUAACAUACCGAAAGGUGUGCUAAUACCGCAUAACACGUUACUUUUGCUAUUGUAAAGUCAAAGGUGGCUUCGCUGUCGCCGAGGGAUGGGCCCGCGGACCAUUAGCUUGUUGGUGGGGUAAUGGCCUACCAAGGCCGCGAUGGUUAGCUGGUCUGAGAGGACGAUCAGCCACACUGGAACUGGAACACGGUCCAGACUCCUACGGGAGGCAGCAGUGAGGAAUUUUGCGCAAUGGGGGAAACCCUGACG